rnacentral:rRNA from 1 species
UACAGAGGGGGCAAGCGUUAUUCGGAAUUAUUGGGCGUAAAGGGCGCGUAGGCGGCUUCGCAAGUGGAAGGUGAAAUCCCUCGGCUUAACCGAGGAACUGCCCUCCAACUGCGUUCUUGAGGCCGGGAGAGGUGAGUGGAAUUCCCAGUGUAGCGGUGAAAUGCGUAGAUAUUGGGAGGAACACCUGCGGCGAAGGCGGGUUGCUGGGCUGACACUGACGCUGAUGUGCGAAAGCUAGGGGAGCGAACGGG